UACGUAGGUGGCAAGCGUUGUCCGGAAUUACUGGGUGUAAAGGGCGUGUAGGCGGGAAUGUAAGUCAGAUGUGAAAUUCCGAGGCUCAACCUCGGCGCUGCAUCUGAAACUAUGUUUCUUGAGUGCUGGAGAGGAAAGCGGAAUUCCUAGUGUAGCGGUGAAAUGCGUAGAUAUUAGGAGGAACACCAGUGGCGAAGGCGGCUUUCUGGACAGUAACUGACGCUGAGGCGCGAAAGCGUGGGGAGCAAAC
rnacentral:rRNA from 1 species